rnacentral:lncRNA from 1 species
CUUUAUUUAAAGAAUUAAAAAUUUAUAAGCAGGUGAGACAUUUUUUCAUGUAUGUAUAAUAUUUUAUAUGUGUUCUUUUAUACCAGAAUAAAACAUUAUUGCACCUUUGUAUAUGCUUUCUGCAGAAUUAGGAAGAGCUAUAAUCAAAAUAUUGUACAAACCUGUGCUUAUAUGAAUUGGUAUCUUUUAUGUGCCAUGAUUUUUUUACAUUUAAUAUUCAU